AGCGAACGUUAGCGGCGGGCCUAACACAUGCAAGUCGAACGCGAAAGGUCUUCGGACUGAUUAGAGUGGCGCACGGGUGAGUAACACGUAGGUAAUCUACCCUUUGGCGGGGGAUAACGUUCCGAAAGGAGCGCUAAUACCGCAUAAGACCACGGAGUCUCCGGACGCUGUGGGAAAAGGUGGCCUCUUCUUGAAAGCUAUCACCGGAGGAUGAGCCUGCGUCCCAUCAGCUAGUUGGUAAGGUAAUGGCUUACCAAGGCAAAGACGGGUAGCUGGUUUGAGAGAAUGAUCAGCCACACUGGCACUGGAACACGGGCCAGACUCCUACGGGAGGCAGCAGUGAGGAAUAUUGGGCAAUGGGCGAAAGCCUGACCCAGCCACGCCGCGUGAGUGAUGAAGGCCCUCGGGUCGUAAAGCUCUGUGGAGAGGGACGAAAAACCUGGGGUCUAAUAGGCCCCGGACUUGACGGUACCUCUUUAGCAAGCACCGGCUAACUCUGUGCCAGCAGCCGACGG
rnacentral:rRNA from 1 species